rnacentral:tRNA from 1 species
GAAGUGGUGGUUCAGUGGUAGAACGCUCUCCUCUCAUUUGGAAGACCUGGGUUUGAUUCCUGGCCAAUUCA